rnacentral:rRNA from 1 species
AUAUUGGACGAUGGGCGAAAGCCUGAUCCAGCCAUGCCGCGUGUGUGAAGAAGGGCUUCGGAUUGUAAAGCACUUCAAGUUGGGAGGAAGGGUUGUAGGUUAAUACCCUGCAAUUUUGCCGCUCCCAACAGAAUAAACACCGGCUACCUUCGUGCCAGCAGCCGCCGUAAUACGAAGGGUGCAAGCGUUAAUCGGAAUUACUGGGCGUAAAGCGCGCGUAGGUGGUUCGUUAAGUUGGAAGUGAAAGCCCCGGGCUUAACCUGGGAAUUGCUUUCAAAACUGACGAGCUAGAGUACGGUAGAGGGUAGUGGAAUUUCCUGUGUAGCGGUGAAAUGCGUAGAUAUAGGAAGGAACAUCAGUGGCGAAGGCGACUACCUGGACUGAUACUGACACUGAGGUGCGAAAGCGAGGGGAGCAAACAGG